AUUGAACGCUGGCGGCAUGCCUUACACAUGCAAGUCGAACGGCAGCACGGGAGCAAUCCUGGUGGCGAGUGGCGAACGGGUGAGUAAUAUAUCGGAACGUGCCCAGUCGUGGGGGAUAACGCAGCGAAAGCUGUGCUAAUACCGCAUACGAUCUCUGGAUGAAAGCGGGGGACCGUAAGGCCUCGCGCGAUUGGAGCGGCCGAUAUCAGAUUAGCUGGUUGGUGGGGUAAAGGCCCACCAAGGCGACGAUCUGUAGCUGGUCUGAGAGGACGACCAGCCACACUGGAACUGAGACACGGUCCAGACUCCUACGGGAGGCAGCAGUGGGGAAUUUUGGACAAUGGGCGCAAGCCUGAUCCAGCAAUGCCGCGUGCAGGAUGGAGGCCUUCGGGUUGUAAACUGCUUUUGUACGGAACGAAACAGCGAGCUCUAAUAAAGUUUGCUAAUGACGGUACCGUAAGAAUAAGCACCGGCUAACUACGUGCCAGCAGCCGCCGUAA
rnacentral:rRNA from 1 species